rnacentral:rRNA from 1 species
UGGGGAAUAUUGGACAAUGGGCGCAAGCCUGAUCCAGCCAUGCCGCGUGAGUGAUGAAGGCCCUAGGGUUGUAAAGCUCUUUCACCGGUGAAGAUAAUGACGGUAACCGGAGAAGAAGCCCCGGCUAACUUCGUGCCAGCAGCCGCGGUAAUACGAAGGGGGCUAGCGUUGUUCGGAUUUACUGGGCGUAAAGCGCACGUAUGCGGACUUUUAAGUCAGGGGUGAAAUCCCGGGGCUCAACCCCGGAACUGCCUUUGAUACUGGAAGUCUUGAGUAUGGUAGAGGUGAGUGGAAUUCCGAGUGUAGAGGUGAAAUUCGUAGAUAUUCGGAGGAACACCAGUGGCGAAGGCGGCUCACUGGACCAUUACUGACGCUGAGGUGCGAAAGCGUGGGGAGCAAACAGG